rnacentral:rRNA from 1 species
GGGGAAUUUUCCGCAAUGGGCGAAAGCCUGACGGAGCAAUACCGCGUGCGGGACGAAGGCUUUUGGGUCGUAAACCGCUUUUGUUAGGGAAGAAGAACUGACGGUACCUAACGAAUCAGCAUCGGCUAACUCCGUGCCAGCAGCCGCGGUAAUACGGGGGAUGCAAGCGUUAUCCGGAAUUAUUGGGCGUAAAGCGUCCGCAGGUGGUUUAUCAAGUCUGCUGUUAAAGCAUGGGGCUUAACCCCAUAUCGGCGGUGGAAACUGAGAGACUAGAGUACGGUAGGGGUAGCGGGAAUUCCCAGUGUAGCGGUGAAAUGCGUAGAUAUUGGGAAGAACACCAGCGGCGAAAGCGCGCUACUGGGCCGAAACUGACACUCAUGGACGAAAGCUAGGGGAGCGAAAGGGAUUAGAUACCCC